rnacentral:rRNA from 1 species
CCUACGGUGUGCUGCAGUGAGGAAUAUUGGUCAAUGGACGCAAGUCUGAACCAGCCAUGUCGCGUGCAGGAAGACGGCUCUAUGAGUUGUAAACUGCUUUUGUACGAGGGUAAACGCAGAUACGUGUAUCUGUCUGUAUGUAUCGUACGAAUAAGGAUCGGCUAACUCCGUGCCAGCAGCCGCGGUAAUACGGAGGAUUCAAGCGUUAUCCGGAUUUAUUGGGUUUAAAGGGUGCGUAGGUGGUUGGUUAAGUUAGAGGUGAAAUCUCGAGGCUCAACGUCGGAAUUGCCUCUGAUACUGUUCGGCUAGAGAGCAGUUGCGGUAGGCGGAAUGUAUGGUGUAGCGGUGAAAUGCUUAGAGAUCAUACAGAACACCGAUUGCGAAGGCAGCUUACCAAGCUACUUCUGACGUUGAGGCACGAAAGCGUGGGGAGCAAACAGGAGUAGAUACCCUAGUAGUC